ACUCUUUUCUGGCAGUGUUCCCAGUAAUACUAAAUGAAGUCAGGGGAUAAAAUUCUCAGAAGGCAAUUAGGUUUUUGCCUUUUCUUUCCUCUAAAUUCUUGAAGAGAAGUUUUUCAGUGGGAAGUUAAGAGAGACAAUAGAAAAUUGCAUUCCUCUGAAAAGCUUAAAAGUGGUAGGAGGGAAUUGAAGGAGUCAGCCAUUUAUUUAUCACUUAGUUAAAGGUCUUUGUGGUAAAAGAUGACUUUAGUUUGUGAAUUUGUGAGGUUGCUAAUAUUGUAAUGCACUAGCAACCAGAGGGCCCAUAUUUACCACUAAUCAGAGGCUAGCAGGUUCUUUAGUCAUUUAAUAUAUACUUUUAAAUAUUUUAAAUGUUUAAUAUUUUUAUUGAAUUAGUUGAUUUACAGUGUGGUGUUAAUGUCAGGUGUAUAGCAAAGUGAUUCAGUUAUUCAUAUAUAGGCAUAUAUAUACAUACUCUUUUGCAGAUUCUUUUCUCUUAUAAAUUAUUUUAAGGUAGACUUCCCUGUGCUAUCCUGUAAGGACCUUGUUUUUCAUCUCUUUUAUUUACAGUGGUGUGUAUCUCUUAAUCCCAAACUCCUAAUUUAUCUAUCCCUCCCCGUUUCCACUUUGGUAAGCCUAAGUUUGUUUUCUGUAUCUAUGGGUCUAUUUCCAAUUGUAUCAAGUUUAUUUGUACCAUUUAUAAGUGAUAACAUAUGAUAUUUAUCUUUGUCUGGCUUAUUUCACUUGGUAUGGUAAUCUCUAGGUCCAUCCAUGUUGUGGCAUUAUUUCAUUCUUUUUUUUAUUACUGAGGUAUAUCCACUGUAUGUGUGUAUGUGUGUGUGUACCACAUCUUCUUUAUCCAUUUAUUUGUUGUUGGAUAUUUAGGUUACUCCAUGUCUUGGCUGUUGUAAAUAGUGCCACAAUGAAUGUUGUGGUGUAUGUAUUUUUUUGAGUUAUAGUUUUCUCCAAAUAUAUGCCCAGGAGUGGUAUUAUUGGAUCAUAUAUUCUAUUUUUAGUUUUUUAAGGAACUUCUAUACUGUACUCUAUAGUGGGUGCACCAAUUUACAUUCCCACCAACACUGUAGGGGGAUUCUUUCCUCCCCUCCUCCACUAUCUAGCAUUUAUUAUUUGUAGACUUUGUGAUGAUGGCCAUUCUGACUGGUGCAAGGUGAUACCUCAUUGUAGUUUUGAUUUGAUACACUAAACUAUUUAUCAAUAUAGAGACUAACGGUUUAUAUAGUCAUUUAGGUGAUAAUCUCCUUGACAUAGGUUGUGGUGAUGAUUGUUUGAAUCUGACACCAAAAGCAACAAAAGUAAAAAUAAACAAGUGUAUCAUACUAAAAAGCCCCUCCAUAGCAAAGGAAACCAUCAAUGAAAUGACAAGGCAACUUAUGGAAUAGGGGGAAAUAUUUAUAAAUGGUAUAUCUGAUAAGGAGCUAACAUCCAAAAAAUAUAAAGAGCAUAUACAACAUAAUACCAAGACAAAAAUAAUUUGAUUAAAAAAUGGGUAGAAGAUCUGAAUAGGCAUUUUUCCAAAGAAGACAUACAGAUGGUCAACAGGUGCCUAAAAAGAUGCUUAAUAUCAUUAAUCAUCAGGGAAAUGCAAAUCAAAACUACAAUGACUUAUUCCAUACCUGUUAGAAUGGCAGUUAUAAAAAGGCAGCAACAACAAGGGCAACAAAUAAAAAGUGUUGGCGAGGAUGUGGAGAAGAGGAAAUCCUUGUGCACUGUUGUGGGGAAUGUAAAUUAUGGAACCACUGUGGAAGACAGUGGUUUUCCAUAAAUUAAAAAUUGAACCACCACAUGAUCCAGCCAUUUCCAGCUCUAAGUAUUUAUUCAAAGAAAAUGAAAACAUUAAUUAUGGGAGGGACUGGGAGCUUGGGGUAAAUAGAUGCAGAAUGUAGCCUUUGGAAGGGAUUAGCAAUGGGAUCCUACUAUGUAGCCCUGGGAACUCUGUCUAGUCACUUAUGAUGGAACACUUAAUGUGAGAAAAAAGAAUGUAUACAUGUAUGUGUAACUGGGUCACCAUGCUGUGUAGUAGAAAAAAUAUAUAUAUAAAUAAAUGAGAAAAAGAAAAAAUAAGUAAAUACAGCCCCCAUGUUUAUUGCAGCAUUAUUUUCAAUAGGCAGUAUAUGAAAACGGCCUAAGUGUCCAUCAGUGGAUGAAUGGAUAAAGAUGUGGUAUAUUAUGGAAUAUUGGAAUGGAAUGUUAUUCAUACAUAAGAAAAGAAUGAAAUCUUGCCAUUUAUGACAGCAUGGCUACAUCUUGAAAGUAUUACAGUAAGUAAAGUAAGUUAGACAUAGACAAAUACCAUAUGAUCUCUCUUGCAGGUGGAAUCUAAAAGCUCAUAGAUAUAGAGAAUAGACUGAUGGCUGGAUGGGGUGGGCGUGCAAAAAAUGGAUUUUUUUUAGUUAAAAUUUAAUAAAAUUUCAAAAAUAAUUUUAAAGAUUAAAAAUGAUCUAUGUCCUCUGUAGUAGCAUGGCUUUAAGUAUCUACCACAGAAGUUCCAAACUACAAUACUUCUAGAAUAAUCUAUAUCUAAUAAUACAUCUAUCUACAUCAAGUCUCAAGGAUGAAUUUCCACUGAAAGGUAUUAUAGUUCAGUAUCUUGUCUGCUUGGAUAUUAAAGAGAAUGGAUCUGUUGCUAAUAUUCCCGUCGUGGCGCAGUGGUUGACGAAUCCGACUAGGAACCAUGAGGUUGCGGGUUCAGUCCCUGCCCUUGCUCAGUGGGUUAACGAUCCGGCGUUGCCGUGAGCUGUGGUGUAGGUUGCAGAUGCGGCUCGGGUCUGGCGUUGCUGUGGCUCUGGCGUAGGCCGGGGGCUACAGCUCUGAUUCGACCCCUAGCCUGGGAACCUCGAUAUGCCGAGGGAGCGGCCCAAAAAGAAAUAGCAA
rnacentral:lncRNA from 1 species